CCAAUCUUGAUGGAUCGAGCUGG
rnacentral:siRNA from 1 species